rnacentral:rRNA from 1 species
UCUGGUUGAUCCUGCCAGUAGUCAUAUGCUUGUCUUAAAGAUUAAGCCAUGCACGUCUAAGGAUAAAUAUUUUUUAACCGUAAACCUGCGGAUGGCUCAUUAAAUCAGUUACAAUCUACUCUAUUGUAUAAAUUACUUGGAUAACCGUAGUAAUUCUAGAGCUAAUACAUGCAAAAAAUUUGAACUCGCAAGGGAACAAAUGUAUUUAUUAAGGAGCAAAAUCAAUACAGACCAUUCCAAACUCUAGAUUAUACUUUAACCGGUAUUUUUUAGGGGGUUUGUAAAAAACAAUUGAAGAAUCAUAGUAAACUUACGAAUCAUAAACUUAACUGUUUAUUGAUGAUAGGAACGAGUUUCUGACCUAUUAACUUUCGAUGGUAAUUUAGUGGAUUACCAUGGUUUUCAUGGGUAACGGAGAAUUUGGGUUUGAUUCCGGAGAAAAGGCCUGAGAGACGGCCAUUACUUCCAAGGAAGGCAGCAGGCGCGUAAAUUACCCAAUCCCAAUUCGGGGAGGUAGUGACGAGAAAUACUAGUAUUGGUCCCAACGGGAACAAUGAUUGGAAUGAGAACAAUUUAAAAACAUUAACGACUAACAAUUGGAGGGCAAGUCUGGUGCCAGCAGCCGCGGUAACUCCAGCUCCAAGAGUGUAUAUUAAAGUUGUUGCGGUUAAAAAGCUCGUAGUUGGACUUGAGGGAUUUAUAUAAAGGGAUUCUAGUUUUAAAGCUAGAUAUCCUUGUAUGUUUUUUCCUUUCUUUUUAUUCUCUUUUAGCAAGGGCGUUAAAAACUCUUGUGUGGGGAUAGAUAGUUUACUUUGAAAAAAUUAGAGUGUUUAAAGCAGACAUGACAUGUACAAUUGAAUAUUACAGCAUGGGAUAAUAGAAUAGGACAUUAACCUUAAUUUUGUUGGUUUUGAAGGUUAAUAGUAAUGAUUAAAAGGGAUAGUUGGGGUCACUUGUAUUUGAUCGCUAGGGGUGAAAUCCUAUGAUUGCUCAAAGACAAACUACUGCGAAAGCAUUUGACAAGGAUGUUUUCAUUGAUCAAGAACGAAAGUUAGGGGAUCGAAGAUGAUUAGAUACCGUCGUAGUCUUAACCAUAAACAAUGUCGACUUUGGAUUAGGAAAUAUUACAUGGAUGAUUUUCCUAGCACAAUAUGAGAAAUCAUAAGUAUUCAGACUCCGGGGGGAGUAUGGUCGCAAGAGUGAAACUUAAAGGAAUUGACGGAAGGGCACCACCAGGAGUGGAACCUGCGGCUUAAUUUGACUCAACACGGGGAAACUUACCGGGUCCGGACACUUUGAGGAUUGACAGAUUGAUAGCUCUUUCUUGAUUAAGUGGGUGGUGGUGCAUGGCCGUUUUUAGUUGGUGGAUUGAUUUGUCUGGUUAAUUCCGAAAACGAACGAGACCUUAACCUAUUAAAUAGUAUAAUUAAAAUUGAAUACAAAUUCUUGAAAUUUGAAAAAAAGAAAUGGAUACUUCUUAAAGGGACUCUUCAUAUUUUAGUGAAUGGAAGUUUAAGGCAAAAACAGGUCUGUGAUGCCCUUAGAUGUUCCGGGCUGCACGCGCGUUACACUGAUGCGAUCAAAAAGUUUAAUUUAAAUUUCCUUAUUUGAAAAGAUUGGGUAAACUCAGAAAUCGUAUCGUGAUUGGGAUAGUGCUUUGUAAUUAUCGCACUUGAACGAGGAAUUCCUAGUAGGUGCAAGUCAUCAUCUUGCUCCGAUUACGUCCCCGCCCUUUGUACACACCGCCCGUCGCUCCUACCGAUUGAAUAAUCCGAUGAGGAUUCAAGAUAGAGAUUUCUUAUUUGUCUGAAAGGAUAAAAAAGAAUUUUUUUAGAAUUUGUUCAAAUCUUAUUAUUUAGAGGAAGGAGAAGUCGUAACAAGGUUUCCGUAGGUGAACCUGCAGAAGGAUCAAGCUUGGAAUCCCGGG